rnacentral:rRNA from 1 species
AGACCCGAAACCCGGUGAUCUAGCCAUGGGCAGGUUGAAGGUUGGGUAACACUAACUGGAGGACCGAACCGACUAAUGUUGAAAAAUUAGCGGAUGACCUGUGGCUGGGGGUGAAAGGCCAAUCAAACCGGGAGAUAGCUGGUUCUCCCCGAAAGCUAUUUAGGUAGCGCCUCGUGAAUUCAUCUCCGGGGGUAGAGCACUGUUUCGGCCAGGGGGCCAUCCCGGCUUACCAAUCCGAUGCAAACUGCGAAUACCGGAGAAUGUUAUCACGGGAGACACACGGCGGGUGCUAACGUCCGUCGUGAAGAGGGAAACAACCCAGACCGCCAGCUAAGGUCCCAAAGUCAUGGUUAAGUGGGAAACGAUGUGGGAAGGCCCAGACAGCCAGGAUGUUGGCUUAGAAGCAGCCAUCAUUUAAAGAAAGCGUAAUAGCUCACUGGUCGAGUCGGCCUGCGCGGAAGAUGUAACGGGGCUAAACCAUGCACCGAAGCUGCGGCAGCGACACUGAUGUGUUGUUGGGUA